UUGCCCUGUUUUUACAAAAACAUGUCUGUGUGAAGUUGUUAUAAAGUCUAGCCUGCCCACUGAUCGAUUUAAAGGGCCGCGGUAAUUUGACCGUGCGAAGGUAGCAUAGUCAGUAGUCUUUUAAUUGAAGGCUUGAAUGAAAGGUUGGACGAGGGAUAAGCUGUCUCUUUUACGCGGGUUGAAUUUAACUUUUGAGUGAAAAGGCUCAAAUUUCUUAGUGGGACGAUAAGACCCUAUAAAACUUGACACAGACUUAGCUGAAUUUGUGAUUUUAGUAAAAAGUGAUUCUGCGAAGCCUUUGUUUCGUUGGGGAGAUGUAGAUAUAACUUGUAACUGUCUAUAAAAUUAAAUAAUUGUGAUUAGUUGUUGAUCCUUCACUUGUGGAUUAAAAGAAUAAGUUACUUUAGGGAUAACAGCGUGAUUUUCUUUGAGAGUUCUUAUCGACAAGAGUAGUUGCGACCUCGAUGUUGAAUUAAAAUUUCAGCUAGGUGUAGCCGUUUAGCUGGUGGGUCUGUUCGACCUUUAAAAUUUUACAUGAUUUGAGUUCAAACCGGUGUGAGCCAGGUUGGUUUUCUAUCUA
rnacentral:rRNA from 1 species